UUCUCUCUACUCUCUUAUGGAACCGUUUCUUUUCUUCUCCGUCCUUUCUUCUUCUCAAUUCCCUCAGUUUACUAUUGAUUUAUUUUUGUUUUUCUGUCAUGCAGUUCUUUUGCCAUGCAGUUCUCAAAAGGAUCAGAUAUGAUUCAUAUGCAGUUCUCAAAAGGAUCAGAUACGAUUCACACUUUGUUGGUAAACCCUAACCCUAAUGUACUUGAUUUUAUUUUCCAGGUACGUUAUUUUCUCAAAAUGAUAUAUAAUCAAAUACGAUUCAUAGUUUGUUGGUAAACUCCAACCCUAAUUUCUUAACCCUAAUGUGACUACGUUUGUGUUUAUCUUAAUCAAUGAACCCUAAUAUUUUGUUUAUUUUUGUUCUAAUUUUGAUUUUUUCCCUGUGUUUUUCUGUGAUUUUUAGAUCAUGUGGAGUUGUGAAUACGUGGGUUACCUGAAGAACAUUUUUGCGAGCAAGAUGUUGGGCGCUUAAUUUUACAAAAAACAAUAAGCUGAUAGAUCAAAAGAAGUACUCUAAUAUGAACAAGUUACAUAAAAUAAUAUAAUUAUCAUUUCCUGUAUCUUCUUUGCUUUAUUUGACGUGGGUUUAGCAUCUAUUCCAGUUUUUCACUUUACCGUGACACUCUUAUCUUCUUGCGGUCUUUAGAGUUUUUGUUUAUCCCUCUAGGUUUGAUUAGGAUUUUUGAUUAAUUGAUGCUGAGGAAACAAGAUUUUUUUUUAUAAGAUUUUAAGUACUUUAUAUCUUAAAGUAACCAGUGGAGAACCCAGAGCAGAGAUACACUGAGGCUGGCAGAACCCAUUUUUGAGAACGAUAUUGUUAACUGAUUGAUUUCUCAAUGUGAAUUAUUAAAAUCUGCUUAUUCUUAGUUUCUGCUUUCUUUAAUGUAAAUCUUUUUUGUGCGAUAUAAUCUGCAAUUUUAUGUUACUACUCUUAAGGUUUUCUUCUCUGUGAUCUUCUCCUCCCAUCUACGCAGAAUUUUUUUGCUAAAGAACUGGAUUUGAAGACAGGUUGUUGAUAUUGCAGUACCGCAGCGAAGAUGGAGAAUAAAGGCUUUUUCUUCUACGGUUCCAUCCUCAUCUCCAGGUGUGGACUUGGAGACACUUGAACCUGCCAUUUCUAAGGCUAGAGGAUUGGGCAAAGCUGAUAAUCAAGAGUAACUUGGAGCUUGUUGUGAGCAUAUUUUGUCUAUUGGGCUUCUAAGGAUUAGUCAGAUGCACAAGUACCAUCAAGGUAGCACAAUCAUUGACAUAUUAAGUCUUCGCGGGUCCGUACCAGUCGAUCAGCCAUAGCCCUGUAAGUGGCAGAGGCGGUGGAAAGAAGAAUAACUAUUUACAAGAAAAGGUGGUGGCACUGGUGGAUGCGGUAAAAAAGCUGGUCUUCGGUUAACUAAUAAGAAAGAUUUUUGUGGCUAGAUGCAGACGUUGCAGGAGAGUUUUGAGAGUGGUGUAGCUGCUCUAGAUGCUGGUGUUUUUGUUAUUGCAGACCAGAUCUGUUAGAGAAAAGGCUAUAAACCACACCAGAUUAUAUUACAGCGUUGAAUGAGUUCGGUCACCUAAUUUUGUUGUAUGUAUAUGUGUGUUGGAGGCAGUAUUAUCAUUUUUCCACCAAAGUCUGUAACCUACAGAGGAAGAAAAGCAAGAAAAGCCAAAUUUUGGACUGUUUUGGGCGAAAAAGAUCAGUGAGCUAAAAUAAGACCCAUGAUCAUCAUGUGCAGAACAAGUAUAGAACAAUCUACUGAUUAAUGGAUGUGUAAAUCUUCAUGUUCACGAUGACGGGGUGAGGCGAGGCCACACCAAAUAAAUUUGGGACGGGGCGAGGCCGAAGCCGAGCUUUACCAAAUCAAAUCGGGACGGGGAGAGGCGAAGCCAACACUUACCAAAUCAAAAAUAUGGUUAAAAGAAAAAGAUAUCCAGUAUGUAGCACGGGCACAACUAUGCCAUUCUAUUUGCAAUUGUUGAUUGAAUUACGCCCGGGUACAAAAUCUAGUUUAUAUAAUUAAGGUUUCUCGAAAAAGGGAAAAUCAAGCAUGGUUACAGAGAAAUAAACUUUGCUGCUGCUAAACUAGCUACGAGGGGUAUAGGUCUUGGCAGUGGUCAGAGUUAUUUAUAUGAGUCCAUAUUU